UCUUCGGAGAGAAGAUAAAAUGGAUUAGCGGCGGACGGGUGAGUAACACGUGAGAAACCUGCCUUUCACAAGGGGAUAGCCUCGGGAAACCGGGAUUAAUACCCUAUGACACAUUUCCUUCGCAUGGAAGAAAUGUUAAAACUCCGGUGGUGAAAGAUGGUCUCGCGCCUGAUUAGUUAGUUGGUGGGGUAACGGCCCACCAAGGCCAUGAUCAGUAACCGGCCUGAGAGGGUGAACGGUCACAUUGGAACUGAGACACGGUCCAAACUCCUACGGGAGGCAGCAGUGGGGAAUAUUGCACAAUGGAGGAAACUCUGAUGCAGCGACGCCGCGUGAGCGAUGAAGGCUUUCGAGUCGUAAAGCUCUGUCCUAUGGGAAGAUAAUGACGGUACCAUAGGAGGAAGCCCCGGCUAACUACGUGCCAGCAGCCGCGGUAAUACGUAGGGGGCGAGCGUUGUCCGGAAUCACUGGGCGUAAAGGGUUCGCAGGCGGUUUACCAAGUCCGAUGUGAAAGGCAUGGGCUCAACCCAUGUAAGCAUUGGAAACUGGUAGACUUGAGUUAGGGAGAGGUAAGUGGAAUUCCUAGUGUAGCGGUGAAAUGCGUAGAUAUUAGGAAGAAUACCGGUGGCGAAGGCGACUUACUGGACUUAAACUGACGCUGAGGAACGAAAGCGUGGGGAGCAAACAGGAUUAGAUACCCUGGUAGUCCACGCUGUAAACGAUGAGUGCUAGGUGUCGGGGCAACUCGGUGCCGCAGUUAACACAUUAAGCACUCCGCCUGGGGA
rnacentral:rRNA from 2 species